CACAAGUUGAGCAGGACUGGUUUAUAGGGUGUUCCUAGGACUACCCAUUUUGCAGAAACCAAAGUGAGCAGGUUUACUGGCUCCUGCUUUAUUAACAUUACUAUUUUUUUUAAAGAUCUGAGGCUUUUCAUUUGUUCUUUGAGGUUGGUGCUACUGUUGCCUACCUCACAACUCGUAAAGCAGCUGCAGGCAAGAAUAGCAGGGAACAACAGAGGAAGGCAGUAGGCACACAAAAUGGAGGCAGAGACAACAUGGCUGACUGAGAAAUUUAAGGUCCAUCCAAAAGAAAAGCUUGCCACAUAGAAGGAAUCUCCACACAGAUUGGUCUGAAGUGCCUAAAUCUACUACUAAAGCAGGCCUUUGCCCAUGAAGAGCCACUUCCUUCAUUGAUGGGGAACAAGAAAACCCAUGAAUUCAAGAGAUGAGUAGCUGUAAGAAAAGGAAGAAAAUGUUGAGAUAUUCUGUUCUAGAGCCAAUAUCAGUACACUGUUCUGACAACUGUGAUAAUAAAGUAAUCACUGACUCAUUCACAAUCAAAAAGGGCACAAAAUGUUCUAUAGAUGGUUUUGACACAAUCUCAGGCUGCACCUAGGACUUCAAAAGCAGUGUCCACAAUGGCUGUUGAAUGUUUCUUAGAAAACAUGAUGUAGACAGAGUAAGCGCUGAACUUUGUUUUCUUAAAAUGAGUUAUAAACUUCAGGGUUUUAGAACUAUUUCAUCACAUCCAACCACCUUCCCCACUUUUGGCCUUGCUUAACAUCCAGCCUGAUGAAGAAUUCUGGAGAACAUGAAAGAUUGUGUGUCAUUUUGGUUAGUCCCAAUAAAGAUAUUACUUGAUUGUAAUCAAGUAAUGUGGCUUUUGGCUUCCCCCCCCCAACGGACCAACACUGCUAUCUACAUAUAUUUUACAACUAUAAAGCAACUUGUGAUCUUCAAAUUAGAAAGCAUAAGAUAUAUCCCAAUACUACUUUCAUUCCUCUGUUCUCUGAAGAUAUAGUAAUAUGAUCCUGCCUCCUGCAGGGACUCAAUUAUUAAAGUGUUCUACCCAA